rnacentral:rRNA from 1 species
AUGCACGCUGGCGGCGUGCCUAAUACAUGCAAGUCGAGCGAACAGAUGAGGAGCUUGCUCCUCUGACGUUAGCGGCGGACGGGUGAGUAACACGUGGAUAACCUACCUAUAAGACUGGGAUAACUUCGGGAAACCGGAGCUAAUACCGGAUAAUAUAUUGAACCGCAUGGUUCAAUAGUGAAAGACGGUUUUGCUGUCACUUAUAGAUGGAUCCGCGCCGCAUUAGCUAGUUGGUAAGGUAACGGCUUACCAAGGCAACGAUGCGUAGCCGACCUGAGAGGGUGGUCGGCCACACUGGAACUGAGACACGGUCCAGACUCCUACGGGGGGCAGCAGUAGGGAAUCUUCCGCAAUGGGCGAGAGCCUGACGGAGCAACGCCGCGUGAGUGAUGAAGGUCUUCGGAUCGUAAAACUCUGUUAUUAGGGAAGAACAAAUGUGUAAGUAGCUAUGCACGUCUUGACGGUACCUAAUCAGAAAGCCACGGCUAACUACGUG